UGGGCUGUCUGCCUGUCUACAUGUCUGUUCAUCUGACUCUACCCCUUCUCCAGGCCCUCAAAAAAAAAAAAAACAAAAAACCAACUUUAUGUCUUCGCUCAUUUUGUGUAUGAAUGGGUACGUGUGUGUUUGUGUGUGUGUGUGUGUGUGUGUGUGUGUGUGUGUGUGUGUGUCUGCAAUGUGGAGGCCACAGGUCAGCCUUGGGUGUUGCUUCCAGGAACUCUCUACCUUACUUUUUGAGACAGGGUCUCUCAUUCAGUACUGGAGCUCACACUGAUUUGGAACCUGGCCAGCUAGCCCCAGGGAUCCUCUUGUUUCUGCUUCCCCAGCUCAGGUGGAUGCCUGGGAUUAGAACUCAGGACCUUAUGCCUGUGUACCAAGUACUUUACUCCCUGGUCCCAACUAAGAUUUUUUUCUAAGCACAUAAAUUGAAUCCCAGAUGAAUAGGAACAUCACAGAAGAAGUACACUAGAAAAAAGCAAGCCCCGCAGUGGCAGAACAUGCAUUUAAUACCAGGACUCGAAAGGGAGAAGAGGGCCUAUCUCUUGAGUUUGAUGCCAUCGUGGUGUCCAGGACAGCCAGGGCUACACAGACAGGGCAACACUGACUUGAAAAACAAACAAACAAACAAACAAACAAACCAACCAAGGAGGGGUGGGGGAUCCACCCUACCAAGUAAGGUUUUCCAAAGAAGAGACCUCCAAGUCUGGGCACUCACUCCUGAGAGAUUCCCAGAGGAAAGAACUAAGGAAAACAGAUGAAUCAGAUGUUGUAUAGUUACUUGCCAUGAACUGAAAAAAUCCCCUCUUGGAAAGAAUCUUUCUAAAAAUUCGCAAAGUAACCUAGUGUGAUGGCUAUUCCUGGUUGUCAAUUUGACUCCAUCUGUAAUGAACUACAAUCCAGAAAUGGAGGGCCCAGCUAUGAUCCCGAUCUAGAGGCUGGAAGAUACAGGUUUCUGACCUGGAUCUUGACAUGGAGAUCUUGAGGCAUAGUGGCCAUGAAAAAGCUUAGGCCCAGGCAAGGUAAUACACACCUUUAAUCCCAGGAGACCGAGCCAAGCAGAUCUCUGAGUUCAAGGUCAACCUGGGACAAGGCAAAUUCCAGAUUCAGGUAUUGUGGUACACACCUUUAUUUUGGGCCACAUCUUCUGCUGGAGGCCUACAUAAGGACGUUGGAAGAAGGAAGACUCACGCUUCUUCACCUGCUUGCACUUACACAUCUGUUGGGACCUACUUCUACAGAAGGCCAGCUGAAACAACUAGCCUUGUGGGACUGAGCAACUAUUAGAUUCUUGGACUUCUCACUCACAACUGCCCAUUGUUGGGUUAGUUGGACUGCAGGCUUUGAGUCAUUACAAUAAAUUUCCUUCAUAUAUAGAGACAUUCCAUAAUUUCUGUGCUAGAGAACCCUGACUAAUACUACAAAGCUGUACCUGACAAUAUAAGGGGCUGAAUUUAAAGAGAUUCGUGAUCAUUUUGAAGCUGUUUUAUUUCACGCGUAUGGGUGAUUCGAUUUUUAAUUUUUAAGAUAGGGUCCCAUUAUGUAGCCCUGGCCCACCUGCAGCUUGCUAUGUGGCCCCGGCUGGCCUCGAGUUCACAGAGAUCUGCUGACUCUACCUCUGGAGUGCUGGGAAUAAAAUCAUGCUUCAUCAUGACUGUUUUGUAUGGGUGUUUUGGCAUGUAUAUGGAUCAUGUUUAUACCUUGUGCCACAGAAUUGAGAAUGAAAGACCCCAGCUUAACAGCAGUAACGCCAUUUUGCAAGGCUGUACUUAAGAUGACUGGUUCAGGGAAAGGUUAGAACACUGAGUACACAGCGGCUGCCAAGCAAGAUAUGUUUGGUUGAAGGCCUGGCAACAGGACGACUUCGGUUGAGCACCUGACAAUGAAAAAAAGCCCCAGGAGAGGUCCCACACCCUGGUGGGGGGCCGAGUCAGUCGUUAUGUUCCAAGAAGGUAGCUAAGAAACUUGCCCCCGGGCUGAACCCUUGGGGGGCCGAGUCAGCCGUUAUGUUUCAGGAAGGUAGCUAGGAAACUUGCCCCCGGGCUAAACCCUUGCCAUAUUAGAAUCCACCAAUUAUAUCCCUGUAACCAUGCAUCUGCUUCUGUAUGCUUGCUUCUGCUCCCCAAAAUCCUAUAAAAGCCCAUCCUUGGUUCUGUGGGGCGCGCCAGUCCCCCGAGUGACUGAAGCGCCCGCAGGUGCCUGUGCCUGUGUAUCCCGACAAUAAACCAAAUCCUCUUGCUGAUUACAUCCUGUGGUGUCUCCGUCUGGUCUUUGGAGUUAGAGGAUCUCCAUCCCGAGGGAAAGUUCUCCCUGAGAGCUUUUCAUUUGGUGCAUUGGCCGGGAAAGGAGAUCCUCCACCCAGGGACCACCGACCACCCACUGGGAGGUAAGCCGGCCGGCGUCUGUCUGUCUGUCUGAUUUUGUCUCGUUCUGCCUUAUUCUGUCUGUUCUGUGAGCGCUCAGCCAGGUUCUGUGAGCGCUCAGCUAGGUCUGUUCUGUGAGCGCUCAGCCAGGUCUGUUCUGUGAGUGCUCAGCCAGGUCUGUUCUGUGAGCGCUCAGCCAGGCUGUUUGGAAUUUGGGCGGGACGAAGAAGGAGCUGACGAGCUCGGACUUCUCGCCCCGCAGCCCUGGAAGACGUUCCAAGGGUGUUAGGGGCCCGACUUUUCGGGGCCCAAUCUGGGAGAGGAGAAAGAUCCGGACUAACGGCACUUCUGUCUGUAGUUUUGGCUUUCAGAGGGCCCCGGACCUUUGCCACCUCCAUCUGACUUUUUGCUUUCAGUUUGGUACCAAAGCCGUGCAGCACGCCUGUCUGUUGUUUGUUUGACUGUUGGUGUUGUUUGUUUUCUCUGUGUUCUAAUCUUCCUUAGAACUAACAUGGGACAGUCCCUAACAAUGCCCCUAAGUCUCACUCUUGAUCAUUGGGAAGACGUCCACGACCAGGCACACAACCAGUCCGUCGAGGUUAAAAAAAAAAGGAAAAUGGCAGACUAUCUGCACAUCUGAGUGGCCCACUUUCGGAGCGGGAUGGCCAGUGAAUGACACAUUUAAUAAGAUCAUUAUUUUACAGGUUAAAGAUCGGGCCGUCCACGGACAUCCUGACCAGGUUUCUUAUAUUAUCACUUGAGAGAGUCUCGCCUUAAACCCCCCCCCGGGCGGAACCCUUCGUGGACCCGAAUUGGCCUCCCCUCAACCCCCAGCCUGUCCCCUCGGCCCCGCCCGGUCCGCCGGCCACGUCUUUCUCUCUCUACUUUUGUGAACUAAGAAACCUGUCCUCCCGGCAGACCCAAACUCCCCUCUCAUAAAUCUUCUCUCUGACAGGCCCGGCUAAAACGGAGGAGGCAGAGCCGCCGGCCAGAUCAGUUGCCGGGCCACAGUCUGAUAAGGGUUUUUCCCAUCGCAGGGAGAUUGCACAAUAAGCGCGAGGUGAUGCCAGAUUCAACCUCCCAGGCUUUAACCGGUGGCCAGACCCAAUACUGGCCGUUUUCAGCAGCUGACAUUUACAAUUGGAAACAACACAACCCUUCUUUCUCCAAAGAUCCGGUGACACUCACCGACCUAAUAGAAUCUGUUUUACUUACCCACCAGCCUACUUGGGAUGACUGCCAACAGCUCUUACAGGCCCUCUUAACCUCAGAAAAAAAAAAAAAAAACAAAGAGUGUUCCUAGAGGCCAGAAAGCAUGUUCUGGGAGAUGAUGGGCGUCCCACCCAGCUGCCUGAGGACCAAACUGGGAUUUUAAUACAGCUGAAGCCCUUCUCUGAGGGCCCAUUUACAGGCCCUACAGAUUGUGCAGAGAGACGUCUGGAGACCUUUGGCCGCUGCUUACCAGGACAAGCUUGAGCAUCCGGUGGUGCCACACCCGUUCCAGAUUGGAGACACCGUGUGGGUGCACAGACACCAGACCAAGAAUCUCGAGCCACGGUGAAAAGGACCCUACACCGUCCUCCUGACUACCCCGACCGCCCUAAAGGUAGACGGAGUCUCGGCUUAGAUCCACACACCACACGUCAAGGCAGUCCGGUCUGAGGAAUUGACUAAUCACAACACUACACCCCAGACAUGGAGAGUUCAGCGCACUCCAAACCCCUUAAAGUUAAAACUCCUACGUGGCUCCUCCUAGCCCUUUUGUGGCCUAGAGUCAGUGAGGGAAUAAGCCCCCACCAGACAGAAAUUUCUUGACCAAGUCGAGUGAAAGAUUUCACUCAAAGUUAGCAAAAAAAAAUGGGGGAAUGAAAGACCCCAGCUUAACAGCAGUAACGCCAUUUUGCAAGGCUGUACUUAAGAUGACUGGUUCAGGGAAAGGUUAGAACACUGAGUACACAGCGGCUGCCAAGCAAGAUAUGUUUGGUUGAAGGCCUGGCAACAGGACGACUUCGGUUGAGCACCUGACAAUGAAAAAAAGCCCCAGGAGAGGUCCCACACCCUGGUGGGGGGCCGAGUCAGUCGUUAUGUUCCAAGAAGGUAGCUAAGAAACUUGCCCCCGGGCUGAACCCUUGGGGGGCCGAGUCAGCCGUUAUGUUUCAGGAAGGUAGCUAGGAAACUUGCCCCCGGGCUAAACCCUUGCCAUAUUAGAAUCCACCAAUUAUAUCCCUGUAACCAUGCAUCUGCUUCUGUAUGCUUGCUUCUGCUCCCCAAAAUCCUAUAAAAGCCCAUCCUUGGUUCUGUGGGGCGCGCCAGUCCCCCGAGUGACUGAAGCGCCUGCAGGUGCCUGUGCCUGUGUAUCCCGACAAUAAACCAAAUCCUCUUGCUGAUUACA